UUAAGCUUUCUCAAAAUCCACAAAAGAGUGAGAACAGAUGGUAUCUGUCUUACUCUGCCUGACUUAUUUCACUUAGCAUAACACUCUCCAGUUCCAUCCACGUUGCUACAAAAGGCCAUAUUUCAUUCUUU